GGUGUAGCGGUGAAAUGCUUAGAUAUCACGAAGAACUCCGAUUGCGAAGGCAGCUUGCUGGACUGUAACUGACGCUGAUGCUCGAAAGUGUGGGUAUCAAACAGGAUUAGAUACCCUGGUAGUCCACACAGUAAACGAUGAAUACUCGCUGUUUGCGAUAUACAGUAAGCGGCCAAGCGAAAGCGUUAAGUAUUCCACCUGGGGAGUACGCCGGCAACGGUGAAACUCAAAGGAAUUGACGGGGGCCCGCACAAGCGGAGGAACAUGUGGUUUAAUUCGAUGAUACGCGAGGAACCUUACCCGGGCUUGAAUUGCAACUGAAUGAUGUGGAGACAUGUCAGCCGCAAGGCAGUUGUGAAGGUGCUGCAUGGUUGUCGUCAGCUCGUGCCGUGAGGUGUCGGCUUAAGUGCCAUAACGAGCGCAACCCUUAUCGAUAGUUACCAUCAGGUUAUGCUGGGGACUCUGUCGAGACUGCCGUCGUAAGAUGUGAGGAAGGUGGGGAUGACGUCAAAUCAGCACGGCCCUUACGUCCGGGGCUACACACGUGUUACAAUGGGGGGUACAGAAGGCAGCUACACGGCGACGUGAUGCUAAUCCCGAAAGCCUCUCUCAGUUCGGAUUGGAGUCUGCAACCCGACUCCAUGAAGCUGGAUUCGCUAGUAAUCGCGCAUCAGCCACGGCGCGGUGAAUACGUUCCCGGGCCUUGUACACACCGCCCGUCAAGCCAUGAAAGCCGGGGGUACCUGAAGUGCGUAACCGCAAGGAGCGCCCUAGGGUAAAACUGGUGAUUGGGGCUAAGUCGUAACAAGGUAGCCGUACCGGAAGGUGCGGCUG
rnacentral:rRNA from 1 species